rnacentral:rRNA from 1 species
ACCGAGAUUCCCCCAGUAGCGGCGAGCGAACGGGGAGCAGCCCGGAGUCUGAAUCAGCUUGUGUGUUAGUGGAACGGUCUGGAAAGUCCGACGGUACAGGGUGAUAGUCCCGUACACGAAAAUGCACUUGCUGUGAACUCGAAGAGUAGGGCGGGACACGUGGUAUCCUGUCUGAAUAUGGGGGGACCAUCCUCCAAGGCUAAAUACUCCUGACUGACCGAUAGUGAACCAGUACCGUGAGGGAAAGGCGA